GGUUAAGCGACUAAGCGUACACGGUGGAUGCCCUGGCAGUCAGAGGCGAUGAAGGGCGUGCUAAUCUGCGAUAAGCGCCGGUAAGGUGAUAUGAACCGUUAUAACCGGCGAUACCCGAAUGGGGAAACCCAGUGUGAUUCGUCACACUAUCAUUAACUGAAUCCAUAGGUUAAUGAGGCGAACCGGGGGAACUGAAACAUCUAAGUACCCCGAGGAAAAGAAAUCAACCGAGAUUCCCCCAGUAGCGGCGAGCGAACGGGGAGGAGCCCAGAGCCUGAAUCAGCAUGUGUGUUAGUGGAAGCGUCUGGAAAGGCGCGCGAUACAGGGUGACAGCCCCGUACACAAAAGCGCAUGUGCUGUGAGCUCGAUGAGUAGGGCGGGACACGUGGUAUCCUGUCUGAAUAUGGGGGGACCAUCCUCCAAGGCUAAAUACUCCUGACUGACCGAUAGUGAACCAGUACCGUGAGGGAAAGGCGAAAAGAACCCCGGCGAGGGGAGUGAAAAAGAACCUGAAACCGUGUACGUACAAGCAGUGGGAGCACCCUUUGGGUGUGACUGCGUACCUUUUGUAUAAUGGGUCAGCGACUUAUAUUCUGUAGCAAGGUUAACCGAAUAGGGGAGCCGGAGGGAAACCGAGUCUUAACCGGGCGUUAAGUUGCAGGGUAUAGACCCGAAACCCGGUGAUCUAGCCAUGGGCAGGUUGAAGGUUGGGUAACACUAACUGGAGGACCGAACCGACUAAUGUUGAAAAAUUAGCGGAUGACCUGUGGCUGGGGGUGAAAGGCCAAUCAAACCGGGAGAUAGCUGGUUCUCCCCGAAAGCUAUUUAGGUAGCGCCUCGUGAAUUCAUCUCCGGGGGUAGAGCACUGUUUCGGCUAGGGGGCCAUCCCGGCUUACCAACCCGAUGCAAACUGCGAAUACCGGAGAAUGUUAUCACGGGAGACACACGGCGGGUGCUAACGUCCGUCGUGAAGAGGGAAACAACCCAGACCGCCAGCUAAGGUCCCAAAGUCAUGGUUAAGUGGGAAACGAUGUGGGAAGGCCCAGACAGCCAGGAUGUUGGCUUAGAAGCAGCCAUCAUUUAAAGAAAGCGUAAUAGCUCACUGGUCGAGUCGGCCUGCGCGGAAGAUGUAACGGGGCUAAACCAUGCACCGAAGCUGCGGCAGCGACACUGUGUGUUGUUGGGU
rnacentral:rRNA from 1 species